rnacentral:rRNA from 1 species
GUGGGGAAUCUUAGACAAUGGGGGAAACCCUGAUCUAACCAUGCCGCGUGAGCGAUGAAGGCCUUAGGGUUGUAAAGCUCUUUCAGCUGGGAAGAUAAUGACGGUACCAGCAGAAGAAGCCCCGGCUAACUCCGUGCCAGCAGCCGCGGUAAUACGGAGGGGGCUAGCGUUGUUCGGAAUUACUGGGCGUAAAGCGCGCGUAGGCGGACCAGAAAGUUGGUGGUGAAAUCCCAGGGCUCAACCUGGGAACUGCCUUCAAAACUCCUGGUCUGGAGUUCGAGAGAGGUGAGUGGAAUUCCGAGUGUAGAGGUGAAAUUCGUAGAUAUUCGGAGGAACACCAGUGGCGAAGGCGGCUCACUGGCUCGAUACUGACGCUGAGGUGCGAAAGCGUGGGGAGCAAACAGGAUUAGAUACCCCUGUAGUCC